AAUAUUCCAAAUCACUUAGAAUUAUCAUUCAACUCAGCAAUGUCAUUAUUGGGUAUAUAUCCAAAGGAAUAUAAAUUAUUCUACUAUAAAGAUACAUGCAUGGGUAUGUUCACUGCAACAAUAUGCACAAUAGCUAAGACAUGGAAUCAAGUUAAAUGCCCAUCAAUGGU